GCUGGAGACUGAGUUAACUCCAGCGCAGGGCCAAGGCUCCUCUGACACGGCAGAGAGACACGGAAAGAGAGCAGCAACUGGCGAGACUGCGGCUCAAACGUGGAAACUGUGACAAGUCUGGAUACGAGGGAGUUUAUUUGGUCGUUGACGCUGCCAAACCAUUCAGCUGACACCAGCGGUCACAAUCAUGAAGGAGCCAGACCGUCUAAUGUGUCAUCUGACAAGUUAAAAGAAGAACAAAAUGUGACAUUUGGAGACAAAAAUCCGGGAGACUUCAAAAUAAGUUAAAACCACUUGACUUUCUUUAGCUAUUAAAGUUGGUGCAUUUCAAUCUGAAGACCAUCAUCAGGGUAAGGAAGCACGCAAAAAGUAAAGAAUUUCACAUUUAUGCUUCUGUUGAUGAACAGGAAGAGGUUAUAAAUCAUCAUCUCACAGUGCCAAAUCUCAGCAAGUUGAUUCAGAUCGACUGCGAGUUUAACCGGCGUUUUUGUGUCUGUUUUUCUGGGUUUGUUUUACAGGUACAGGCCAUUGGUGGAAGUACGUUUACUC